GUAGAGGAUGCUUCGGGGCAGCGGCCGGUCUAAGUUCCUUGGAACAGGACGUCAUAGAGGGUGAGAAUCCCGUAUGCGACCGGCUGGCACCCCACACGUAGCUCCUUCGACGAGUCGAGUUGUUUGGGAAUGCAGCUCUAAAUGGGAGGUAAAUUUCUUCUAAAGCUAAAUACCGGCCAGAGACCGAUAGCGCACAAGUAGAGUGAUCGAAAGAUGAAAAGCACUUUGGAAAGAGAGUUAAAAAGCACGUGAAAUUGUUGAAAGGGAAGCGCAAGCAACCAGACUUGUCGGCGGUGUUCACCCGGUCUUCUGACCGGGCUACUCGCCGCCGGCAGGCCAACAUCACCUGGGGCCGCCGGAUAAAGGUGUCGGGAAUGUAGCUCCCCUCGGGGAGUGUUAUAGCCCGGCGCACAAUACGGUGCGCCCCGAGUGAGGUCCGCGCUUCGGCUAGGAUGUUGGCGUAAUGGUCGUUUGCGGCCCGUCUUGAAACACGGACCAAGGAGUCUACCAUCUAUGCGAGUGUUCGGGUGUUAAACCCCUACGCGGAAUGAAAGUGAACGGAGGUGGGAACUUUAUUGUGCACCAUCGACCGAUCCUGAUGUCUUCGGAUGGAUUUGAGUAAGAGCAUAGCUGGUGGGACCCGAAAGAUGGUGAACUAUACCUGAAUAGGGUGAAGCCAGAGGAAACUCUGGUGGAGGCUCGCAGCGGUUCUGACGUGCAAAUCGAUCGUCAAAUUUGGGUAUAGGGGCGAAAGACCUCGCUUAUUGAUAUGCUUAAGUUCAGCGGGUAUCCCUACCUGAUCCGAGGUCAACCUUGUGUGAGGUUUAACGGCGUGCGUCGCCCGUACCCUUGCCAGCGGAUUGAUUUGCACAACGCUGAGGGACAGAGGACCCAGCCGGGGUCAUUGAGGCGUGCGGCGGACCGCGGCGCCCAAUACCAAGCGAGGCUUGAGUGGUGUAAUGACGCUCGAACAGGCAUGCCCCUCGGAAUACCAAGGGGCGCAAUGUGCGUUCAAAGAUUCGAUGAUUCACUGAAUUCUGCAAUUCACAUUACUUAUCGCAUUUCGCUGCGUUCUUCAUCGAUGCCAGAACCAAGAGAUCCGUUGUUGAAAGUUUUAACUUAUUCGGUUGUUACUCAGACGCACGGAUGCAGAGUUGUGUGGUCCACCGGGGGCCCCCGACGCCCGUAAGGGCCGGGCUCGCCCCCGAGGCAACAGAGUCGGAAUUCAAAGGGGUUGGAGG
rnacentral:rRNA from 1 species